UACAACUGAAUCUACAUGCAAUUUUUCUCUUAUUUUUCAAUGUUUAUAAUGUCUGAAUGCGGGCAGGUAACUUUGAAGAUGGGCAGGCAAUAUUUAUGGGUCACUUGUCCGACUGUCUUCUUGGGUUUUACAAUUGUUUCAAACACUGGAUCUCAAACAAGGUACAAAUAGAAAACCCCACCCACCCACAUACAAUUAGAUCUUCCUUCCCAUGUGCUUACAUCAUAAUCCAUAUUAUCACUCAUUUUCAUUUUCAUAACUGAUUAAUUCAUGGUUUCAUUUAUUGAAUAUGCUUACCAUGCUUACACUGUUACAGGGGAUUGUACAACAUGUUUAUAAAAGUCUUUAUACCUUAUUAUGUCAAUAAGUUACGAUCUCCAGAUUUCACAAACUCCAUAUCUUAACCAGUUUUUAAUUCAAUGACACGAUUUAAUAGAAGUGAGAGUGUUUAUGAGUAGGUCUAUUGAUACAAGGAAGUGAUAGUCGUUGAUAUAGCAGCUCACACCAUCUGUCCUGAUAACGGAGGUAGAGAGUCAAUUAAAAUGACAUGGACGAAUCUGAAUCCAAAAAUAGCCCGCCUCUACAGCCGAAACUGGAAUGGCAACAGGUCACCACAGGAAUCUCGCGACUAUCGUGACACAGAGUACUCACCAUUUUGCCAGCGAAGUGUUUGGAUCUAGCCCGUCUUGGCUACAAUAUGAAUGAAACAGGGUAUCCUCGUGCUGUUGUUAAUCCAUGUCAAAUUGUUUCAAUAAUUUCUACACACUCAGACAUGACAACAAAGUUCACUUUUCCGUAUGUAGCGAAAGGCGGAAAUAGUCGCUCCUUCCGCAGUUGCGCAGUGAUGCAGAACACCUGUAUGUGACGUCAUGUUACUACCCUUAUAUGGACUACGGACACCGUGUUUCACACCCAAGGGAUUGUCCAUCAGGUGUGUUGUUUUAAGGAAUGUUUGUGAGCAUAAUAAAACAUUUCUUUUUAAACUGCACUCGUCCUAAAUUAAAUCAGUGAAUUAAAGGUUUGUUUUUUGUAUAAAAUAAAUACAUACAAUCUAUCGCUGAUGUUUUUUCUAUAUAGACUAUUUGUAAUCAAAACAAAAGAUAUAGGUAUACAGUUUGUAUUGUAAUCAGGUUCUGGAGAAAAGGCGAAACAUGUUUUCUUACACUUAAUCUAAACGUCCACCCUUUAAUAUUGAUGCUAUCAAUACUUGCGCCUCAGUUGAAGAUGACACGAUACAUGUUUUAUCACUCGAUUCCAAUUCCCCCAAGAAUGUUCCCUACUCACUCGAACUUACAGACACUGCAAUCGCUUGUAGCGACCAAAACAAAUUGGCAGAGCUAGGGAUAAGCAGAGCAUUGCGUAAAAUACACCCCCCCCCCCC